AGUCACUCUGGGAGGUGGUGGAUGGUAUUACUGGGCCCGUUUUUCAUUGGGGAAACUGAGGCUCCAACACUGAAAUAAUUCACUUCACCUGGAGUUGAGCCAAGAUUCUCUUUACUCCAAAGCCAGCACUCCUUCUGAGAACAGGACUUUGAUUUGGAUGGACGGAUGUUGCUGGGGGCCUCAGCACAGGGUCUUUGGGCUCACAGCUGGACAUGCAGCUGUUCAGCGGCAGCUGCGGUCUGUCCACCCAGGCGGAGACUGGAUGCAACAGUUUCAGGCGGGGUUCCUCCCUCCCCAGGUGCCUGCCCACCUCUCCCUUACAUGGGAUGUCUCUCUUCUUCCUCCUUGCCUGGUCCCUAAAGCACUUGAGUUUGUGGUUCAUUUUUUAAAAAAUGAUAUAUUUUAUUUAACCCAGUAUAUUAAAAAUGUCAUUUCAGAAUGUACGUUUUCCUUUUUUUUUUUUUUGCAAUUGGCCGUGUAUUUUACACCUUUAUUUUAUUGAUUUAUUUUUUUAGACAGAGUCUUUCUCUGUUGCCUGUGACGUGAUCUCAGCUCACUGCAACCUCAGCCUCCCGAGUAGCUAAGAUUACAGACAUGUGCCACCAUGCCUGGCUAAUUUUUGUAUUUUUGGUAAAGAUGAGGUUUAGCCAUGUUGGCCAGGCUGGUCUCAAACUCCUGACCUCAAGUGAUCCAGCCACCUUGGCCUUUCACAGUGCUGGGAUUACAGGGCUGAGCCUCUGUGCCCGGCCAGACUAAGCAGGCUUCAUGUGUCCAACAGCUAUGUUGGGCAGGUGGCUCCGAGCUGGAGGGCACAGGUUUGGAUGGAAGACGACUGCGUGUGAAAGCACCACUGUGAGCCUUGCGGGGAUGCAGAGCCCAUGGCACAGGCCGCUCCUGAGUGACUUCUCCAGAACCUGCCUGCUAUAAGCGCUCAGGUGUCUCUGUCUCUCUGCACCAAACCUUACUACUCUUAAAGGUUUUGAGACACCAGUUUACUUAGUAUACUAAUAAUUGUACCCAAUUACUACCAUUAGAUUGGAUAAAAGACCAUUAGAUUGGGUUUUUGCUGUCAUUUAUUUUCAUUGAUUUCUUAACAUUAUUUUACAUUUUAAAUAAAAAUUGUGUAUAUUUAAAGUGCACAAUGUGUUGUUCUCAUGUACACUGACAUAGUGACAUGAUUACUAUGGUAAAGCUAAUUAACACUUCCUUCUCCUCACAUAACUCCUUUAUUUAUGUGUUGGGAGCAGCUCGGAUCUACUCAGCGACUUUCCAGAGAGCCGUGUGGCUUUACUAAUGACAGACAUCGUGGUGCAUUCCAGACCCCUGGGCUUGUUCAUCUGACGUCACUGCAACCUCCUGAUUCCACUCAAUAGGCCAAGACAAGCGGAAGCUCCGGUUCAGGGAGAACGUUCCCCAGGAAAUCAGGGCAGCAGAGUUUUCCAGGAACGGAGGCUGUGACGGUGGAGGGUGGCCAGGCAGCAGGAGGCCGGGGAAGCGGGUGUCCUGAAGCAGAGGCCGCGGCGCCACGUGUAUGGCAGCUUGCAGGAUAAAAGCCAAAGUGAUUGCUCCAAAUGGACAUCCAUGCCAGUCAUCUGUGUAAGGAUCGCUGAGUGUCUCACAAAAGCACGUGGGUAUGAAGGUGGGGUUGACAUUGAUGAUUAAACCAAGCAGUACAGAAGCAUCGGUGCUGGUCACUUAUCCCCGUCCUUCCCAUCAUUCGAGAUCCCCUUCCAGCGAAUGGCAUCUUCUGGUGUGUGCAGGACCCGAUGGAGGAGUGAUGAGACCUCAGAGCCAUGUCCAGGCUCUUCCAGUCAGUUGGUGGCCUCCACAAAUGCCAGCCAGCCCGCCCAAUGCAAGCUUCUGCUUGGCCAACGUGUAGCAGUUACGAUGCAGCAAUUGGAAGAGGCUGUGGGGAUCAGUAAUUCCAGUGGGGGAGCGACGGACACCCCUAAGAACCCAUUCCACGAUUUUAGUCCCAAAUUGGAUUUUGCUUGGAGAAAUUCUCUGCCCUGUAGUAGUGGUUUUUAAGAUCACAGAUAUUGGAGUAAGAAAGACAAGGCUCUUCUAUUUGCUGGUCUAUUGACUCACAGGGGAAUACCAGAGAACUUGGCAUCCAGAAAACAGUCAACAAAUGAAGACAGUGCAACUAAGACCUGGGCGCCAUGUUCCUUCCCUAAGGCUCAUUUCACUAGGAUGCUGUGUCAGCACGCGCACACACACACACACACACACUCACACACUCCAGGAAGCCUCUAAAAGAAAUGCAAGUGUUCUCCAGUAGAAGGAGCAUCGCUGAAAUUUACUCAACAGCACGGUCUUCGUGUCUUUCCCUCCCAGGCCCACACUCUCAGCUGCCUCCUCCCCUCUCGCUCCUUUCCUCCUGUGUUCUCCAGCAAGGGUGAGGACCCACUGUCAUUCAGAAAACCUCCUCCUAGUUUUUCUAUGCAGGGAGUCAUUCACACAUCCAGCAAGGAAAACAGGGGCUUGUGCAGACUCUCCUUGGGAGGUAAUGGGAGAGGGAUUCUAAAUGCUUGUCACAUUUUUACCUGACACUGUUACUACCAUGUAACUACUAAUAACUAAUGCCAACUUCUGAAUCAUAUUUCCUAUCAUCUUAUGAGAGAGAACUCUGUGGUGUAUAAACACCAAAUCACAAAUCUCCACUUUACAUUCUUGUUUGUCUACUUGUUUGUCUGUUUUCCACUGCAGUGCAGGAGCCCGUGGAGGAGACCCGGUUUCCAGCACCGAGGGGCUCAAGAAUCUCAGGUCACCUGUGAGAUGAGCUCUGAGCACUUGCCCACACUCCUGAGCAUGAACAUAAAGCCCCAUCACAUGCAGUGGCAGAUGGUUAAGACAACAACCAACCAUCUCGUCAGAUAAAAGCUUCGCUCCACUUAAAGUGGAUGAUUUUUAAAUUUGUUUGUAAAACCUUUGAUAUUUGACUACUAAGAAAUUAUAAGAU
ensembl:lncRNA novel transcript